UGGCAUCGUAUGAACCAGUAGUCAUAGUAUAAGCAACAUUGAAGCCUAAUAUGCAUUCAUCUACAUGUAUUAUUAUUUGUGCACAAACAAUUUUACCGUGUGAAGAUCCUACAUAAAAAUGCUGAUUUUUUUCUUAUUUGGUACCUGGCGACACACAUUUUCAAGUCUAUUUCAUUUAAUUUGGCAUAGAUAUUUAUAAAACUGGCAUCGUAUGAACCAGUAGUCAUAGUAUAAGCAACAUUGAAGCCUAAUAUGCAUUCAUCUAUUAUUAUUUGGGCACAAAUAAUUUUACCGUGUGAAGACCCUACAUAAAAAUGCUGAUUUUUUUCUUACUUGGUACCUGGCGACACACAUUUUCAAGUCUAUUUCAUUAAAUUUGGCAUAGAUAUUUUAAAAAAUGGCAUUGUAUGAACCAGUAGUCAUAGUAUAAGCAACAUUGAAGCCUAAUAUGCAUUCAUCUGUUAUUAUUUUUGGCACAAAUAAUUUUACCAUGUGAAGACCCUACAUAAAAAUGCUGAUUUUUUUCUUACUUGGUACCUGGCGACACACAUUUUCAUUUCUAUUUCAUUAAAUUUGGCAUAUAUAUUAAUAAAAAUGGCAUUGUAUGAAGUUAUGAACAUAUCGUCAUAGUAUCAGGGGUGGCGAAAUCAAAUGUCCGAGUUGCCCGAGUCGUACAUUUGCUUGUCUGGGCAACUGAUUUUUUUCAAUUAAGUUGUCCGUGGACAACAAGUUUUUUAAAAGUCGGGUCCAGGUAUACAAAAAAAAUACAUUGUAUUAAAGCUGUAAUUAAGUUUUACAAAACCGGAUUUUGACAUGCGAUUACAUUGUCAGUGCUAUUUGCGGAGCAAUCAAGUUUUAAUACGGGCACUCUCCUGCGCAGUGAUCUCCCUAAUUCUAUAAGAGACCAGGAGCAUGCCGCAUUUUAAACAUUUGGCCCGACUGUUAGACAGUGUACAGACUGGUUUCUUUAUUUUUACAAUCAGACGGAAAUAAAAAGUAUCAAAGUAAGAUAAUCAAAACACGGUCUACCUUGUUAUUUAAGACGACUUUAAUGGUAAAAAAUAGAACUUUUUUUUUUAAUCUUCAACAACGGAGCAGAAACCCGAAGCUUUGAGCAGUCCACCUCCCAAAAAAACUAAGAAAGAUUAUGAUAAAAAAUAUUAUCUAAGUAAACGCACCAGAACUUUUCAAGAAACUUGGCUAACAGAUUUUCAAUGAUUACACAUGUACCAGUUGAUGAUAAUCAAAUUGCUACCAGUAGCGGAGCCUCAGUCUGACAGGGCUCAAAAUUAACUUUUUUUUCUACUUGCAAAACAUUGCGAGCUGCUUUAUUACCAACUCGCAAAAUCAAAAACAGACUCGCAAAUUUUGCAGUGUGUUCACUCAGAAAACAAAGUUUAAGUGUUAGUUUGGGAUAUUUUUAAUGGGUUUUCAAAUAUUGAAAAAAAUCAGCUAUGAUAUUGUGUGUUGAGUGCGACGUCACCAAAAUACAAAUCAACGGUUAACUUUACUUUAUCUUUUGUAUUUUUAUUUCCGUCUGUAGGCAAAAUGAAACUAAUUAUGUUUGGCUUCGACGCCAUGUCUGUGCAAGUUCAAUGAACAAAUGUGAAUAGUCAACUGUUUAACGUUCUUUGUUCCAAUACUAUCCGCGUAUCUGUACUAUAAGUAUACCAGUCUACAUACAAGGUGCGCGCUUCUGCAUACAUAGACGUUCUAUAAAUUGACCUACGGUUUAGCGUUCAUGACGUUGAGUGCAUUUAUAUUACUAGUUUUUUUCCCACUAUUUCUUUACUCGCAAAAAAAUACUAGUGGCUUAAAACUUAACUCGCAAUCAGUAUUUUUCACUCGCAUUUUGCGAGUGUGCGAGUGUUAAUUUCGAGCCCUGGUCUGAUGAGGU